rnacentral:rRNA from 1 species
AUAUCAUAAGCGAGGAAAAGAAACUAACAAGGAUUCCCCUAGUAACUGCGAGUGAAGCGGGAAAAGCUCAAAUUUAAAAUCUGACAGUCUUUGGCUGUCCGAGUUGUAAUCUAGAGAAGUGUUAUCCGCGCUGGACCGUGUACAAGUCUCCUGGAAUGGAGCGUCAUAGAGGGUGAGAAUCCCGUCUUUGACACGGACUGCCAGGGCUUUGUGAUGCACUCUCAAAGAGUCGAGUUGUUUGGGAAUGCAGCUCAAAAUGGGUGGUAAAUUCCAUCUAAAGCUAAAUAUUGGCGAGAGACCGAUAGCGAACAAGUACCGUGAGGGAAAGAUGAAAAGAACUUUGGAAAGAGAGUUAAACAGUACGUGAAAUUGCUGAAAGGGAAACGCUUGAAGUCAGUCGCGUUGUCCAGGGAUCAACCUUGCUUUUGCUUGGUGUACUUUCUGGUUGACGGGUCAGCAUCAAUUUUGACUAUUGGAAAAAGAUUAGGGGAAUGUGGCAUCUUUGGAUGUGUUAUAGCCCUUGGUUGUAUACAAUGGUUGGGAUUGAGGAACUCAGCAUGCCGCAAGGCCGGGUUUUUAACCACGUACGUGCUUAGGAUGCUGGCAUAAUGGCUUUAAUCGACCCGUCUUGAAACACGGACCAAGGAGUCUAACAUGCCUGCGAGUGUUUGGGUGGAAAACCCGAGCGCGUAAUGAAAGUGAAAGUUGAGAUCCCUGUCGUAGGGAGCAUCGACGCCCGGACCAGACCUUUUGUGACGGUUCCGCGGUAGAGCAUGUAUGUUGGGACCCGAAAGAUGGUGAACUAUGCCUGAAUAGGGUGAAGCCAGAGGAAACUCUGGUGGAGGCUCGUAGCGAUUCUGACGUGCAAAUCGAUCGUCAAAUUUGGGUAUAGGGGCGAAAGACUAAU